rnacentral:rRNA from 1 species
AUUGAACGCUGGCGGCAUGCCUUACACAUGCAAGUCGAACGGCAGCACGGGGCAACCUGGUGGCGAGUGGCGAACGGGUGAGUAAUGCAUCGGAACGUACCUUUCAGUGGGGGAUAACGUAGCGAAAGUUACGCUAAUACCGCAUAUUCUGUGAGCAGGAAAGCAGGGGAUCGCAAGACCUUGCGCUGAUUGAGCGGCCGAUGUCAGAUUAGCUAGUUGGUGAGGUAAAGGCUCACCUAGGCGACGAUCUGUAGCGGGUCUGAGAGGAUGAUCCGCCACACUGGAACUGAGACACGGUCCAGACUCCUACGGGAGGCAGCAGUGGGGAAUUUUGGACAAUGGGGGCAACCCUGAUCCAGCCAUGCCGCGUGAGUGAAGAAGGCCUUCGGGUUGUAAAGCUCUUUCGGCCGGGAAGAAAUCGCACGGGCUAAUACCCUGUAUGGAUGACGGUACCGGAAUAAGAAGCACCGGCUAACUACGUGCCAGCCGCCGCAGUAACAC